rnacentral:rRNA from 1 species
GUGAGGAAUAUUGGUCAAUGGGCGAGAGCCUGAACCAGCCAAGUCGCGUGAAGGAAGAAGGAUCUAUGGUUCGUAAACUUCUUUUGCAGGGGAAUAAAGUGCGGGACGUGUCCUGUUUUGUAUGUACCCUGAGAAUAAGGAUCGGCUAACUCCGUGCCAGCAGCCGCGGUAAUACGGAGGAUCCGAGCGUUAUCCGGAUUUAUUGGGUUUAAAGGGUGCGUAGGUGGUUUGAUAAGUCAGCGGUGAAAGUUUGCAGCUUAACUGUAAAAAUGCCGUUGAAACUGUCGGACUUGAGUGUAAAUGAGGUAGGCGGAAUGCGUGGUGUAGCGGUGAAAUGCAUAGAUAUCACGCAGAACUCCGAUUGCGAAGGCAGGUUACUACUUGUGGAUUGACGCUGAUGCACGAAAGCAUGGGGAGCAAACAGGAUUAGAUACCCUAGUAGUCC